GAUGAACGCUGACAGAAUGCUUAACACAUCAGCAAUUGAUUGGUGGCGGACGGGUGAGUAACGCGUAAAGAACUUGCAUCACAGCUAGGGGCAACAUUUGGAAACGAAUGCUAAUAUCAUAUACUGUGAGAGAGCUUUGCGUCCCAUUAGCUAGUUGGGGAGGUAACGGCUCACAAAGGCGAGGAUGGGUAGCCGGCCUGAAAGGGUGAUCGGCCACAAGGUGACUGGGACACGGCCGUUAGGCCUACUGGAGGAAGCAGUGGGGAAUAGUGGACAACGGACCAAUGUCUGAACCAGCAAUUCGGUGUGCAAGAUGAAGUUGUCGGGAUGUAAAGUGCUUUCAGUUUGGAAACGGUACCAACAGAAGAAGUGACGGCUAAAUACGUGCCAGCCGCCGCGGUAAUUC
rnacentral:rRNA from 1 species